rnacentral:tRNA from 1 species
GGCCCGAUGGUUUAGUGGUAUAAUUCUCGCUUAGGGUUCAAGUCUUAACUGCGAGAGGUCCCGGGUUCAAUUCCCGGUUGGGCCC